rnacentral:rRNA from 1 species
AGCACCACAACGGGUGGAGCUUGCGGUUUAAUUGGAUUCAACGCCGGAAAUCUUACCGGGACCGACAGCAAUAUGAAGGCCAGGCUGAAGACUUUGCCGGAUUAGCUGAGAGGUGGUGCAUGGCCGUUGUCAGUUCGUACUGUGAAGCAUCCUGUUAAGUCAGGCAACGAGCGAGACCCACGCCCACAGUUGCCAGCGUACUCUCUGGAGUGACGGGUACACUGUGGGGACCGCCGCUGCUAAAGCGGAGGAAGGAAUGGGCAACGGUAGGUCAGUAUGCCCCGAAUAUCCCGGGCUACACGCGAGCUACAAUGGUUGGUACAAUGGGUAUCUACCCCGAAAGGUGAAGGCAAUCUCUUAAACCUGUCCUUAGUUCGGAUUGUGGGCUGCAACUCGCCCACAUGAAGCUGGAAUCUGUAGUAAUCGCGUCUCAAAAUGGCGCGGUGAAUAUGUCCCUGCUCCUU